rnacentral:rRNA from 1 species
AUGGUGGAGCAUGGUGGUGUGAGGGAGCCACCAGGAUGGCUCCCAGAUGGCUGGAUCUGGGAGGUCCGCCUUGGUGACGACGGUGAAUACUACGAGUACUACAUAUGUCCAGUGUCAGGGGCCGAAUUCAGGAUGAAGGCAGAUGUCCUGAACUACCUUUUCUCCGAAAUGGAUGAGAAAUACAUCGAAUCUAUGGAUGCUGCUGCUGCUCCUGGCAUGCUCCAUAAGGAACAUGACUGGCUUCCAGAGGGGUGGCGGCUUGAGAUCAGAGCAGGGGGGAAAAACAAAGACAAGAUGUACAAGUUUUACAUUUACCCGCCACUGGGAAUUCGAUUAUUCUCAAAAGAAGAUGUGAUACUCUAUCUCAACGAAAUGAAGGUCUCUAAAUGUGAUACUGAUGGACAAUGCGACACAAGCUCUAGAGAUAAUGUUCUAGCAGAACUGAUUCUUAACCCAUCUGGGUUGCCACCUGGAUGGGUAUUAGAAUUUGUAUACAGGAAAGCCGGAAGCAAUGGAGAAAUGAGGAAAGAUCCGUACUAUACGGAUCCUGUUAGCCAUUAUACAUUCAGGACGUUGAAGUCUGCAGUUCGCUAUGUUGAAACCAACGAACUUACAGAACGUGCAUUUAUUCAGAAAACAAGUGUCCAUGAAGUGUACAACUUUGACAAGUCUACAGAUCUGCAUGAGAGUUUGCGUAAAAGAUUACUAACAAAAGACGAGAGGGCUGCUAUAAAAACUGCAAGUUCAUCAAAACCUGGAAGAUCAUCACGAGAGGUGGAAAUAAAUUACCAUGAGAAAACUUUAAAUAGAGGUACGUUGCAUAUACCACGCAUAUUUCUUGUUAAGUUUCUGUUAUCCAGUGUACUACUCCCUCUGUAA